rnacentral:misc_RNA from 1 species
GUGUGUGUGUGUGUCUCUCUCUCUUAGAGAUAAUAUUCCUCCUGUAUCAUGUAUUAUUGUUUUCUCCAGUCUUAUGUGCCUUUUGUCUUCCUCAAGUUCUGGUUUGGAAGUUUAUGGAUUUUUUAUGCUACCAAAGAGCAGCAAGUUGUUGGGAACUUUUGAUAUUGUGGAGUUAAUGGUCAUUCUCUUUUUCUUUCUGAAAGAUGGAAAACUGUACUUAAGCUUACAUUUGUAAAUUUCAGUUUGCAUGUUGCAGAAACAAUUGUUCACUUUGUGGUAUGAAGCUUUGUUCAAGAGAUCUAUCCAUUUUCUGCAGAAAUAAGAGAAACUGUGAUGCAUUGCAUAAAUUGGUGUUGAUUUCAAUUACUAUUCCAUUUUAUGCAGGAGAAAGUGAUGUUACAGAGAA